rnacentral:rRNA from 1 species
AUUGAACGCUGGCGGCAUGCCUUACACAUGCAAGUCGAACCGCAGCACGGGUGCUUGCACCUGGUGGCGAGUGGCGAACGGGUGAGUAAUACAUCGGAACAUGUCCUGUAGUGGGGGAUAGCCCGGCGAAAGCCGGAUUAAUACCGCAUACGAUCUACGGAUGACAGCGGGGGACCUUCGGGCCUCGCGCUAUAGGGUUGGCCGAUGGCUGAUUAGCUAGUUGGUGGGGUAAAGGCCUACCAAGGCGACGAUCAGUAGCUGGUCUGAGAGGACGACCAGCCACACUGGGACUGAGACACGGCCCAGACUCCUACGGGAGGCAGCAGUGGGGAAUUUUGGACAAUGGGCGAAAGCCUGAUCCAGCAAUGCCGCGUGUGUGAAGAAGGCCUUCGGGUUGUAAAGCACUUUUGUCCGGAAAGAAAUCCUUGGCCCUAAUACGGUCGGGGGAUGACGGUACCGGAAGAAUAAGCACCGGCUAACUACGUG